rnacentral:rRNA from 1 species
CACGUAGGAGGCGAGCGUUGUCCGGAAUCAUUGGGCGGAAAGAGCUCGUAGGCGGCUUGUCACGUCGGGUGUGAAAGCUCGGGGCUUAACCCCGGGUCUGCAUUCGAUACGGGCUGGCUGGAGUGUGGUAGGGGAGAUCGGAAUUCCUGGUGUAGCGGUGAAAUGCGCAGAUAUCAGGAGGAACACCGGUGGCGAAGGCGGAUCUCCGGGCCAUUACUGACGCUGAGGAGCGAAAGCGUGGGGAGCGAACAGG